AUUGAACGCUGGCGGCAUGCCUUACACAUGCAAGUCGAACGGUAACAGGUCUUCGGAUGCUGACGAGUGGCGAACGGGUGAGUAAUACAUCGGAACGUGCCUAGUAGUGGGGGAUAACUACUCGAAAGAGUGGCUAAUACCGCAUGAGAUCUACGGAUGAAAGCAGGGGAUCGCAAGACCUUGUGCUACUAGAGCGGCCGAUGGCAGAUUAGGUAGUUGGUGGGAUAAAAGCUUACCAAGCCGACGAUCUGUAGCUGGUCUGAGAGGACGAUCAGCCACACUGGGACUGAGACACGGCCCAAACUCCUACGGGAGGCAGCAGUGGGGAAUUUUGAAGAAUGAGAGCAAGCCUGAUCCAGAAAUGCCGCGUGCAGGAUGAAGCCUUCGGGUUGUAAACUGCUUUUGUACGGAACGAAAAGCCCUGGGUUAAUACCCUGGGGUCAUGACGGUACUGUAAGAAUAAGCACCGGCUAACUACGUGCCAGCCGCCGCCGUAA
rnacentral:rRNA from 1 species